rnacentral:rRNA from 1 species
CCUCGGAUCAGGUAGGAAUACCCGCUGAACUUAAGCAUAUCAAUAAGCGGAGAA